rnacentral:lncRNA from 1 species
AAAUCUUGAAGAACAGUUUUAAAGAGUCAAUUCGUCUUAAUUUUCACGCACACAUAAGCUGGCAAAGUGAGUACAACAAAUAAUAAUAAUACUGGCUGAAAAAUGCUCUGGCAUUUGUGGCACAAAAUAGAAAAGGAGGAUUGUGAGCUCUCUCAACUGUGAUUACCAAAAUUCGCGUGGGAAAAAUUCCCAUUUUUAAUCCUUGAAAGAAAGAGUAGAGGGGCCACCAGGACUGGUUUGACAGCAGUAUUGAUCUAAUAGGCUGGAGCCAAAAAUAUCAAGUGGUGAUAAAAAAAUUUAAAGAAUAUUAUUAUUAAUUAAUAUUACAUGAAAGAAUAAUAUUAAUAUUCAAAGAACGUAAAAACAACUGCUUCUUUUAUUGGAAUCCAAUGUUUUGUUUCGUUUACUUUGAAACUACUGAUUGAAAUUUUGAGUCACAGGUCCAAUACAUGAUUCAUAUCCGGUGAUACAAUAUCUGCAAUGUAGAGACUAAAAUAGAAUUGGCAACAGUAGUAGGUAAAUAUUUUGUUGAUGAUGCCCACAUCUAUGAACAUAUUUUGAAUAAAAAACGCACUUCUCUAUUAGAGCCUUAUGCUGAUCACUAUCAAUAAGGUUGUAGGAAAAUGACACGGUUGCAUUACUAGGGUCAGUCACCUAGUCAAUCCGAUUGUUGAAAGUAGUGAAAAGCAAGUUCAAUACCGGGCGUGGUAACAGGAUGCCGUUGAAAAGUAUUGAUUAAUCAUCACAAGCACCAUUGCAAUGCAAUCUGUCUGUAUCUGCGGUAGCUAUGCCUAUGACUGCUUAUCACCUUUCUUUUCUAAUUCUGCUUUUCCUUCCCUCUCUCUGAUCUCAAAACGAUCCAGAAUUGAAAUAAUCCUAAAUGAAACGUGAUUGCUUGUUUUACUUUUGCAAUCAACCGAAUUCAACAAUUGAAACAAUGUGUGGAACGACAUAUUUGCCUACCAAUCUAGUGUUCUUUUCACUAGAGGAACAUUCAGCUCAUUCAUUUACCAAUCAACUCUACCAAACUGCUAGGAAAGAUGAUGAUUGUGAACACACUUAUGAAUGUUCACCUGACUUAUAUUGCCAUACCAACAAUAAGUGCAUCAACCCCUGUGAUGACCUAUUGAAGUGCACAACGGAUGGACCAGACAAUCCAGGCUUUGUUGUCCUCAGGGACAACGCGGAGUACCGCGAUGAAUUCAGCUGAGUUUUCCAAGACUAAACUCUAAGCUGUAAAUAAGUAUCCAGCAGCAUAAUAAAUGUAAAACUCCAAUCGAUUCGUCCAUUUCAAAACUAAAUUAAACAGUAGAAGAAAUUAAAAUGUGAUUGAAAUAAGAUGUACCUAGGCUUUUAUUUCAAAUUCACUUACAAUAUAGUAGACCUAGGCCUAUUUAUGUGUGUAUAAUGGAGGAUAAUAAAACUCUUGCAAAUAAUACGAAUGAAAAAACCAGGGCCACACGUUUCAAGCCGGGAACAAGCACACUUUGUUAUGCAGCGUUCCGAUCCUACUCAUGUCCGAUAAUUCUGUAGGGUGAAGGAGUGAUGGUCACAUGUUGUAGCCUACAUGUGUGGCAUACACCAUGAUUCUAGUUUAUAGAAAGAAUAACAUUUUAUUAAACCUUUAUAAUCUCGUUCCAUGUUGCUAUGAUAUUAACAAUGGAACUAUAGUUUUAUUUAGGGCUAGCUUAAAAUUGUCAAACCUACUUUUUUAUCAACGAUGAAAUAAGAACCUAAUUUUUGAAACUUAAAAAGUUGCUACAGUUUUGUAAUGCAACAUGCAACAUUGAGAAGUGGACAAUAAUGAAGUCUGAAACAAACUCAUAAUGCAAAGAGGACCAAAAUUUUAAUUCCAAUAUGGUUCUAUGUCUUUAUUCAACAUAUAGACUAUGAGGUUUACUGUCCACAUUCACAAUUAGUUCAACAGUAUUAGUUAUUUAUUGUUCUAUUACUGAUACAUUGAGCAAUACAUUUAUUAGGUAGCAUAUUAGACGCAUCGCAGCGUAUAAUCCUGUACAAGACAGCGAUGUGCGUGACUGGUUUCAUAUCUGAAAUCAUUGCUGGACACAAUGAAGCCUGGAUUGCCGAACCCAAACGUGACGCACUUGACUAGUUUUUCGCAGGGGUCGGUGCAUUUGCUGUCGGUAUGACAGUAUAGGUGGGGAGCACAGUCAUCAGUUCUUGUGCAAUA